rnacentral:rRNA from 1 species
UACGUAGGUGGCAAGCGUUGUCCGGAUUUACUGGGUGUAAAGGGCGUGUAGCCGGGCUGACAAGUCAGAUGUGAAAUCCGGGGGCUCAACCCCCGAACUGCAUUUGAAACUGUUGGUCUUGAGUACCGGAGAGGUCAUCGGAAUUCCUUUUGUAGCGGUGAAAUGCGUAGAUAUAAGGAAGAACACCAGUGGCGAAGGCGGAUGACUGGACGGCAACUGACGGUGAGGCGCGAAAGCGUGGGGAGCAAACAGG